GUGUAAGUUCACAUCUAUAUAUGAUGAAACAGCGAAGCGCUCAAUAAAUCAGUUAUUGUCUGUUCGAUGGUAUAAACUAUGGAUAACUGUGGUAAAUCUAUAGCUAAUACAUGUACGAACUCAAUGCUGGAAACAGUUUUGGGGGCAUUUAUUAGUCAAAAACCAAUCACAAAAUUUUUGUGAAGUUGAAACUGAAUAACUUUGCAUACCGAAUGGGGUGACCUGUCGGUAGUUCGAUUGAAUUUCUGCCCUAUCAUACUUGUUGUUGGGGUAGUGGCCCAACAAGGUGUUGACGGGUAACGGGGAAUCAGGGUUCGAUUCCGGAGAGGGAGCCUGAGAAACGGCUACCACGUCUAAGGAAGGCAGCAGGCACGAAAAUUACCCAAUCCGGUCACCGGGAGGUAGUGACGAGAAAUAACAAAACGUGCUAAAUUGGUACGUUAUUGGAAUGAUGUCAAUAUAGAAACUUGGCCGAGUAACAACUGGAGGGCAAGUCUGGUGCCAGCAGCCGCGGUAAUACCAGCUCCAGUAGUGUAUAUCAAAAUUGUUGCGGUUAAAACGCUCGUAGUUGGAUGAUAAAAACCUGCAAUCACAAAAAAGAUUCUUUUUUGUGGUUGUAGGUUUUUUUAUAACAAAUGCUACGCCUAACUUAAUUGGUAGGCGUAGUCUAUUUGUUUAGCGUGCCUUGAAUAAAGCAGAGUGCUCAAAUCAAGCUAAACGCUAGAAUGUAAUAGCAUGGAACGAACAGCCAGAUUCUGGUUCAGUUGGUUGGUCAACCGAACAUGUCUUAAAUUAUUAUAUACGUGUUGUCAGUGUAAAUAUAACAGUUAAUCUUUAUAUUUGCAUUAGAUAGCAAUUAUAUAUUAAUCGGGCAUGUUUGGAUCUGAACCGGGUCAUGAUUAAAAGGAACAUUUGAGGGCGUUAGUAUUCGAUGGCGAGAGGUGAAAUUCAAUGACCCAUUGAGGACUCACUAAUGCGAAGGCAUUCGCCAAGAAUGUUUUCAUUAAUCAAGAACGAAUGUUGGAGGUUCGAAGACGAUCAGAUACCGUCGUAGUUCCAUACAGUAAACUAUGCCAUCACGGGAUCAGCUCGUGAUUUUAAUACAAGUUGGUCUCCCAGGGAAACCUUAAGAUUUCGGGUUCCGGGGAGAGUACGGUCGCAAGGCUGAAAUUUAAAGGAAUUGACGGAAGGACACCACCAGGAGUGGAGCCUGCGGCUCAAUUUGACUCAACACGGGGAAACUUACCAGGUCCAGACAUUGAAAGGAAUGACAGACUGAUAGAUCUUUCAUGAUACAAUGAUUGGUGGUGCAUGGCCGUUCUUAGUUGGUGGAGCGAUCUGUCAGGUCUAUUCCGGUAACGAGCGAGACCACAAUCUUUAAUUUAUCGCUUUGUUCAUCACAACUUUUGCACUACCUUGUAAACUAAUGAAUGCACCUUUGUGCUGUGUAUAUGGGAAACUGUAUGCGCAGUAUAAAGUGUUGGAUUUUUUUUACAAGGUGGGGUAAAAGUGGAACAGAGAUAUUAGAGAGACUACCGUGCGAUUUUUAAAGCCGGGGGAAGCGUGGCAAUAACAGGUCUGUGAUGCCCUUCGAUGUUCUGGGCUGCACGCGCGCUACAAUGGCAGUGACACAAAGUUACUGCUCCGAGAGGAGUGGUUAAACCCAAAUCGCUGUCAUACUUUGGACUGAGCCUUGUAAUAAUUGCUCACGAAAAAGGAAUUCCUCGUAAGCGUAAGUCAUCAACUUGCGUUGAAUACGUCUCUGUCCUUUGUACACACCGCCCGUCGCUACUACUGAUUAGAUCGGAUUCCGAAAAGUAGUGAUUUGUACGAACCUUUCGGUUUGUGUAAAGAAUCACUUUAAGGAAUUGAUUUGAAAAGAAGUAAAAGUCGUAACAAGGUUUCCGUAGGAGAACACAGGAGGAAAAA
rnacentral:rRNA from 1 species